UAUAUGGCUGCAGGGAAACAAAACCAAUACAAGCCUGCUGUGAUUCCUGUACAGAGAGACGGCUGGAAAGUUCACAGCCCUUUCAAGUUAUUCACAUUCCUCCCUCCCAGCAUGGGGGGAAGGAAAGGAGGGCUGCAGGGUUGUCCUCUAUGCACAAAACUAAUGGUGCUAAAUAUGUCACACAUUUAAACAGCAUUUCAUCUCCACGUAGAGCAACCUACUCCUAUACUCCAAUGAUACUUCCUGGCACCUUAUAAUAAACUUCUAUAGUGACCCCAAGGAGCAGAUAAGCAAGGUCAUCCCUGGCUUAGGUGAGGGAAACUGAGGCAGAUUGUCUGCAAAGGAUACAUGCAUUAGAGGCACAUUAAAACCCAUGAAUGCUGCUCCUAUUUCUCACAUCUAAUUACUACAUAUGCUCCCUCUCUGCCCCCGCAGGAUUGAAUGUCUUUGGUGGGGACUGAAUUCAGGACUUAAUUAUUGAACACUGCAAGGAUGCCAAGAAGUUCCCUAAGACCUUUAGUUACCUCAGUGGCCAGCAACAACGAAGUGGAGAAGGCCCUGCCCUCCUCCUCCAGGGAUUAUCUUCCAGGUGCAUCUUUUAUCACCGCUUACUUCACAUUGUGCCCAGUCCAACUCAUUACUAAUAACUCAGGUUCGUUCUCUUUGGUCAUCCAACCACCUCCUGCCCGCCAGAGACCAAACUGAUCCACACGCUCUUCAAGGCUACGAAAUUCGCUGCAACCUUCCCACACAAACCACAGGAACGCGACCCUCCCUGUGUUCAACCAGACCUAGCACUGGCCCAAGGCCACGUGCAGUGGAGAAGAGGACAAUGAGGUGAAACAAGAUGUAAACUUGGUCUUCUUUAGACUUGCAAGAGACCCUGCCACGUCCCCUACUAACGGCAGACAAAACUAGCUGCCUUUUGAAGCUGUUCCUUCUGCCACAUAUGUCAGAUCAGGCUGCGGGUACUUCCCAGUGAGCGAUAGCUCCUCCGUCCAGAGCUCCGACACAACCCGGCAGGCUGCCGUUGCUCCGUUCCUACCUCCUCCUGCUCCUUGCUCUAUCUCCUGGCCUCUGUCUGACCCCAGCUCAGUGCUCAUUUCUCCUGAUGGCUGAAUCAAUCCUUUUGCUGAACUCUUUCCUUCACCGCUGUCUCCUCUGGCUUUUUCACCUCUCUCCUGCUGUUUGCACCCAGCACUUCUAACACGUCCCCAUCGCUUGAGACCUCUGUUCUUGCUCCUAUGCCCGUGGCCACGUUUGAGGGAUGCCCUAUGGUGGACGUCGCACCCAGAUGGCUCUCCUCUGCUCCUGUCCUCCGCUCUCUCCCUUGUCAAAGCAGUGCUACUUUCAGACUCACAAUCCUACUGCCUGCAAAUCCCUCCAGACAAAGCCUCUGCUCCCACUGUCCCUUCCACCGCUCACAUGAUUUCACUGGUUUCUUCAGACACUGAAAACUGGUAAGAUCAGCCAAGGACUCCCACCCACCAUAUUUGUCUCCUGCCUUUUUUUGAGGAACUCGCGGAAAGAUUUCCUGACUUCACACACACAGCGAUUCCUGCCGGCCUCUCUCCAUCCCACAUAUCUUCUGCUUGAUUCAGCCUUGUCCUUAAGCCCUUCCCUGCCUCACUUUACUUGCAACUACAACUUGGUUCCCCUCUCCCUCGAUCCAAUGACUCCCCUCACCAAUGACCGAAAGCCAUCUAGGUCUACUCCAUCUUAGCAUUAGGUCCCUACCAAUCCUGCUCUUCCCACUCCCCCAGGAGUCUCUAAUGAGAGAACGACAAUAUACCGCCUGCUAGGAUUCAUUCUAGCCAUCUGCUAUCCAUCGAGGUACUUUUACUGCACCUCUAGCUGUGCCAUCUCAGCAUCAGAGACAGCGUGAGGGGGGGUGGUAAGAACUCAAACAAAGGCAAGAGGUAAUGAUUAGAAAGAGACUCCUGAUUUGUCAGAAGCCAUCAGAGACGUCUCUAACAGGGCUGAUUUAUAUAGCGUAUUUCAAAUAGAAAACAAACAAGUACAGAGCAAUGUGAAAAUACUUGUGAAGGCCAAGCAAGCUAUAAACAUUUGCAAGGCGCAUGCUUGCCUUAGGUUUCUUUUUAUCUCUUUAAGGGCCUAUGCCCCAUGGUGCCUUUUAUUGUCACUGCACAUGGAAACAAGCCCAAAAGAUCACUCUCAGAGUAUCCCACAGAAAUGAAUCCUGCUUCAGUCCUCUGUUGUAACAGGAAAUGGUGUGAUUUUUCUUUUUUGUUUAUUGUUAGUUCCUGCAUCAAUCAGUGGUUUGCUGAAGAUCACAAGGGUUAUUUUUUCUUCUUGUUGCUGUCUGCUUUUGGAAGUAAAGGAUGGUUGUGCUGAAAACAACUUAAGUUUUUCUACCCUAUGUUUGUGAACUAUAGUAUAUGACACAGACUGGUUAUUGCCCUAAAAGGGCUAGAAUUGUUCCAUCAGCUUAGAAACACGAGUACUUGAUAACCACCUUUACACUGUUUCAUUGAGCCUGCAAAACUACUAUGUCUCACAUUUUCUGUUUAUUUUUAUCUUGUUCCAAAAGGAACAAGAGGCUUGCCUCAAAGAGCCUCAAAGGUUGCAUAAGAGGGGAGAGAUCUACUCCCACACGGGCAUAUAGCACAGCUUCAAAAUCAGGGAUACUCACAGCUUGCUUAGGUUUUCUAGGCCAGUAAAGGCUCCAUUGGUAUCUUCUAUUGUGCCUGCGAUCUCGUUGUGGUCCAGAUCCCUGGGGAGAGGAGGCAAGAGUUCACAAUCAGUGU